rnacentral:tRNA from 1 species
GCACCAGUGGUGGAAUGGCAGACACGUACGCUUGAGGGGCGUAUGGGGAGACCCGUGCAGGUUCAAGUCCUGUCUGGUGCACCA